GGAUGCAACAGAGCAUUCAGUGGACAAUACCCAGUCCCACAGCUGAUGAGGUUCCAGUGAAAAUGUUUAAGCAGGAAAGAAAAAAAUCAAUUCUUUUUUUAACCCCUCUUUACUUCUGACUGUGUUCACACCUCCCCUUACAGAGAUCAGAGCACCUCUCCCUCCCCCAAGAGACCCGCCUUCCAGGUGCAGAAAACGUGGUGGACAGGGAGAGAAUGAAAGGGGUGGUGUCUUGAGGUGUUUGCCACUGUUUUUAAUAGUUCCAGACCCCUCUUGAAAAACAUUUCCAACUGAGUACCAGGAGCCAAUGAGUAUGGGAAAACUGAGGCCCAGAGUGGGGAAGUGACUUGCCCAAGGUCACCCAGCAGACCAAUGGCAGAGUUGGAGACAGAAACCAGGUUUCUUGAGUCUCACUUCAAUGCUCUAUCCACUGAUAUACUUAUGACAGACCCAUCUGUCUGAAGUGUGAUGGUAACCAUACUUGGUGCUGCGACUAUUCUUUCUCCUGUUACACUAUAGAUCCAUCAGAUGGUUGAACUGAGGAUCAGAAAGAUUCAACAAGAGUCACUACUGAAGUCAGGAAUAGAGCCCAGGAAUCCUAAUUUCCUAUUUCCUGUUCCUAACACUUUGCCCAAGCGACAUGGAGAUACUUUGACAAUAGUUUUAUAUAAAGAAUACUUGGAAAACCCCUUAAGAAAUUAGUUUGUCAGUUGAAUCUUGUAUGAGGCAAAAGAAACAACAGAGGGGAAACCAAAAAACAUUUUGCAAUGUCUGACAAGGCCAAGUUUGCUAUUUUAUAAAAUAUUAAAUGUAUUUUAGAAAAGGAUAUAUGGUCUGGUAGCAUGAGCACAAAAUUAGGAGCCAGAAAGUUUUGAGUUCUAACACUGGCUUUUCUGAUGACAUGACACUAUGGAUCUUGGCCAGUCACUUAACCCCUCUGCUUCAGUUACCCAGUCUCAGUGGAGUAAUAAUUGUUGCUUACAUCAUAGAAGUGUUGUGAGUUACUAAAACUACUAUAGAUCGAUUCACCACUAUACUACUCCAGUUUUGUACCAGUGUAACAUCAGUGAAGCUAAUGUGCCAGUUCCUUCCCCUUUUUCCAAAAUGAGCAGCACAAAGGAAAGAUAAUCUGGCCACAGCUGGACAGUUGAGAAUUUCCCUGGCAUGAGGAAGUGAACAACUGGUGUAAAGCCGGGGGCGACCACCUACAGAACAGGGAUCAUACCCACCUUUUUCUGGCAUAUGAGGGGCAGAGCAGAACAGAUCAAUUUUCAGCUGGCAUAUUGUCCUUAGGGCACAUAGUCAUCUUGAAUAAGUAAGCAGAUCUCAGGACAGUCUGAGAUGAAAGGAGCUGCAACUGGCUCCCUGGCAGUGUCCCUUUUUGCUAUGCAGAGCUUAUCUUGGUGCAGAAAUUUACAGAGGUGUAAAACUGGAGUUAGGUCAUGAUUAAUAACAUCUGUUUCCUCCAUAUUAUGUCAAUGAGAUGUGAGGACGUUCAGCAGUUGACAGGAUCCAGGCUUUAAUGUUUACAAAGCAAUUUGAAGGAAAGUGCUAAGUAUUUUUUUAUUACCACACUUUGAGGAACAUCCUGCAGUUUUAUCAGUUCAGUUGUUUAAUCUGAGAUGGAAACCAGUCAGGGGAAAAAUGGUUGGUGAUGUUAUGGAAACAAGUCAGGGGAAAAUGUUUGGUGAUUUCACACACACACGAACAAACAUUAAAGUAUG